AUGAAUAUUAUGAGGAGUAAAAAAUAUAGUUUAUUCAGAGAACUAGUGGUUGGUGAGAACUAGUAAAUCAUAUUUUUGAAGGUUGCAUAGUAUAAAACUUAAUAUACAACUAAGGUGAGUUUAAGUUUUUUUUAAACUAAUUAGGAUGGUACCGCGGAGACAAUUCGUUCCUAUU
rnacentral:ncRNA from 1 species